GGGGCUUCCACGGAGAACAAAGGCCUCUGUGAAGCCUGAACUCCAGUAGGGCCCAAGCCAGCCAGGAAGGAGGAGGCAGCCAGAGAGGCCUCCACUGUUCUCUGCAGCAGAAGACCCCUUGCUGCCAGCCAGCCACCAGCCAUGCGUAGGGAUGUGGCGAGGCUAUGCGUGCUGGCGAGGGAGGCACCUGAUUGGCUGGGCGCCGGUUGGCUACUGUUGACAGUGAGGAGAAGCAGGGUUGAAGAACAGAAUAGAAGAUCAGGGAUUUCCUUUCACUGACCUGAUGCAGAAGCAAUCCUGCCGGAGCACUACCAACACAGAAGCCCUAUUUACACAUUAUGUUCAACACUCAUACAAUGAGUGUACAGUGUGCACAUGUACAGAUCUGUAAACAGCUGUAGUGAUCAGACUCCCCUCACCCUAAAAAGUUAACUGGAAGUGAACUCUACCUUGACUGACAAGCUGGUGAACUCCAGGGCUCAGCCAAUCAGCACACCAGUUGGGUGGGACCUAGAGAGCUGUUGCCAGGAAGAGGGGAGUUUUUUUGGUAGAGGAGGACAUGUGGCCAUGGAGUUUGGCUGCAGGAAAAUAGCCCUGCAGAUCUUUGAAAGACAGGAGGGCAGGAGGCUUGAAUUCUCAUCUGGAGUUUGUGUUCUUUCAAAGGAGAGGGACAAGAUUUCAUUAUUGAACUGAACCGUAGGUGCCCUAACCUUUUCAUGCAGUGAAUCACAAUUAACAGUAAUUGGUUCUAUCUUUAUGGUACAAUAUACCUCUGUUGACAAAUUCAGAUAUCUGAUAUCUUGGAGCACACAGUAAUAAUAGAGAGAUGGAGCACCUGAAGAGUGAAAUACGGAAAAUGUUGACUACACGUUCAACCUAUUCUCUCCGAUAAAUAAAUGAAGUUGUUUCCUGACAAUGAACUAUUGAAAAGGGAAGAAACACAAUGCAUAGAGAGAAUAAAAGAGAGAGGAGAAACUAAGAUACAGGUGUUAUCAAAUGGGAAAAGAACAGAAUGUACACCAAUCUAAAGAUAUUUUUACAAAUUGCUACCAACAGCAUAGACAGCUAUGAUAAGUAGUGACAGCUAAGACUAAAAUGUUCACCCUCCCCCUAAACAAAAUGCUGGUUUAAUAACAGAUAGAAACAAUUGUGUUGAUCAAUGUGUUCUCUACUGCAUUUUUGUGUGUGUAUAAUAAAAUAUAUCUGAGAUUCAA